AGAGUUUGAUCCUGGCUCAGGAUGAACGCUAGCGGCAGGCUUAAUACAUGCAAGUCGUGGGGCAGCGCAGUGUAGCAAUACAUGGGCGGCGACCGGCAAACGGGUGCGGAACACGUACACAACCUUCCUUUAAGUGGGGAAUAGCCCAGAGAAAUUUGGAUUAAUACCCCGUAACAUUUUGAAGUGGCAUCACUUUAUAAUUAUAGCUACGGCGCUUAAUGAUGGGUGUGCGUCUGAUUAGGUAGUUGGCGGAGUAAUAGCCCACCAAGCCUACGAUCAGUAACUGGUGUGAGAGCACGACCAGUCACACGGGCACUGAGACACGGGCCCGACUCCUACGGGAGGCAGCAGUAAGGAAUAUUGGGCAAUGGACGCAAGUCUGACCCAGCCAUGCCGCGUGGAGGAUGAAGGUCCUCUGGAUUGUAAACUUCUUUUAUCUGGGAAGAAACCCAUCUUUUCUUGGGUGGUUGACGGUACCAGAUGAAUAAGCACCGGCUAACUCCGUGCCAGCAGCCGCGGUAAUACGGAGGGUGCAAGCGUUAUCCGGAUUCACUGGGUUUAAAGGGUGCGUAGGUGGGCAGGUAAGUCAGUGGUGAAAUCCUGUAGCUUAACUACAGAACUGCCAUUGAUACUAUUUGUCUUGAAUACCCUGGAGGUGAGCGGAAUAUGUCAUGUAGCGGUGAAAUGCUUAGAUAUGACAUAGAACAUCUAUUGCGAAGGCAGCUCACUACGGGAAUAUUGACGCUGAGGCACGGAAGCGUGGGGAUCAAACAGGAUUAGAUACCCUGGUAGUCC
rnacentral:rRNA from 1 species